CUCAUUCAUUUUAAUAUAGCAGCAAAUCAGAGAGAAGGAUGAACAAGUUCGCUUGAAGAAGAAGGAUAACAGACGAUUUCCAGGGGCUUAGCAGCGAGGCGACUCGUGAUUGGGCAAAACUAAUCGUAGCAAUGACAUGUGGAGGAGAUCCUUACGUGAAGCUUGAGUUGGAAUGAUAUGGACUAACAUUGCGGGUUAUGACAUUUUCUACAAUGUGGAAGAACUACAAUAAUUAUGGUUUUUUUAGCUUGUGAAACUUUUGGCAUAUUCUCUAGACUUUUUUAUCGUAUUGAACUGUUGGCUAAGAUUGUAGAUACUUUUGUUAUUGGUACUUGUGUUUGGACAUCUAUGUACUUAUGAAUUAUGUUUUAUCACGAUAUUCGGAGUGA